rnacentral:tRNA from 2 species
UCCACAGUAGCUCAGUGGUAGAGCUAUCGGCUGUUAACCGAUCGGUCGUAGGUUCGAGUCCUACCUGUGGAGCCAU